AAUNACCAGNUGGCGAAGGCGGCCACCUGGUCAAAAACUGACGCUGAGGUACGAAAGCGUGGGGAGCAAACAGGAUUAUAAUACCCUGGUAGUCCACGCCGUAAACGGUGUCAACUAGUUGUUCGUGUCAUUAACGAUGUGAGUAACGCAGCUAACGCACUAAGUUGACCGCCUGGGGAGUACGGCCGCANANGUUNAAAACUCAAAUGAAUUGACGGGGGCCCGCACAAGCGGUGGAGCAUGUGGUUUAAUUCGAUGCAACGCGAAGAACCUUACCAUCCCUUGACAUCCAGUGAAUUUUCUAGAGAUAGAUUAGUGCCUUCGGGAACACUGAGACAGGUGCUGCAUGG
rnacentral:rRNA from 1 species